rnacentral:rRNA from 1 species
CCUACGGGAGGCAGCAGUGGGGAAUUUUGGACAAUGGGCGCAAGCCUGAUCCAGCCAUGCCGCGUGUGGGAAGAAGGCCUUCGGGUUGUAAACCACUUUUGUCAGGGAAGAAACGGUUUGUCCUAAUACGGCGGACUAAUGACGGUACCUGAAGAAUAAGCACCGGCUAACUACGUGCCAGCAGCCGCGGUAAUACGUAGGGUGCAAGCGUUAAUCGGAAUUACUGGGCGUAAAGCGUGCGCAGGCGGCUUUGCAAGACAGAUGUGAAAUCCCCGGGCUCAACCUGGGAACUGCAUUUGUGACUGCAUGGCUAGAGUACGGUAGAGGGGGAUGGAAUUCCGCGUGUAGCAGUGAAAUGCGUAGAUAUGCGGAGGAACACCGAUGGCGAAGGCAAUCCCCUGGACCUGUACUGACGCUCAUGCACGAAAGCGUGGGGAGCAAACAGGAUUAGAUACCCUGGUAGUCCACGCCCUAAACGAUGUCAACUGGUUGUUGGACGGCUUGCUGUUCAGUAACGAAGCUAACGCGUGAAGUUGACCGCCUGGGGAGUACGGCCGCAAGGUUGAAAACUCAAAAGAGUAAGUUAGGACGGNGNGAGAGACGACGACGACGACGACGGAGGGAGGAGG